rnacentral:rRNA from 1 species
UACGUAGGGGGCAAGCGUUGUCCGGAAUCAUUGGGCGUAAAGAGCGCGUAGGCGGCCCGGUAAGUCCGCUGUAAAAGUCCAGGGCUCAACCCUGGACCUGCAUUCGAUACGGGCAGACUAGAGUUCGGUAGGGGAGACUGGAAUUCCUGGUGUAGCGGUGAAAUGCGCAGAUAUCAGGAGGAACACCGAUGGCGAAGGCAGCUCGCUGGGACGGUACUGACGCUGAGACGCGAAAGCGUGGGGGAGCAAACAGG